rnacentral:rRNA from 1 species
AGAGUUUGAUCAUGGCUCAGAAUGGACGCUGGCGGCGUGCCUAACACAUGCAAGUCGUACGAGAAAUCCCGAGCUUGCUUGGGAGAGUAAAGUGGCGCACGGGUGAGUAACGCGUGGGUAACCCACCUUCGAAUCUGGGAUAACUCCGCGAAAGCGGUGCUAAUACCGGAUAAGACCACAGCCGUUUCGGCGGCAGAGGUAAAAGCUGACCUCUCCAUGGAAGUUAGCGUUCGAGGACGGGCCCGCGUCCUAUCAGCUUGUUGGUGGGGUAAAGGCCUACCAAGGCAGCGACGGGUAGCUGGUCUGAGAGGAUGAUCAGCCACACUGGAACUGGAACACGGUCCAGACUCCUACGGGAGGCAGCAGUGAGGAAUUUUGCGCAAUGGGGGAAACCCUGACGCAGCAACGCCGCGUGGGUGAAGAAGGCUUUCGGGUCGUAAAGCCCUGUCAGGUGGGAAGAAACCCUUCAGCACUAAUAAUGCUGAAGCCUGACGGUACCACCAGAGGAAGCACCGGCCAACUCCGUGCCAGCAGCCGCGGUAAUACGGAGGGUGCAAGCGUUGUUCGGAAUUAUUGGGCGUAAAGAGCGUGUAGGCGGUUCGGUAAGUCAGAUGUGAAAGCCCUGGGCUCAACCCAGGAAGUGCAUUUGAAACUACCAGACUUGAGUACGGGAGAGGAGGGGGGAAUUCCCGGUGUAGAGGUGAAAUUCGUAGAUAUCGGGAGGAAUACCAGUGGCGAAGGCGCCCCUCUGGACCGAUACUGACGCUGAGACGCGAAAGCGUGGGGAGCAAACAGGAUUAGAUACCCUGGUAGUCCACGCCGUAAACGAUGAGCACUAGGUGUAGCGGGUAUUGACCCCUGCUGUGCCGUAGCUAACGCAUUAAGUGCUCCGCCUGGGGACUACGGUCGCAAGACUAAACUCAAAGGAAUUGACGGGGGCCCGCACAGCGGUGGAGCAUGUGGUU